UCGGCCGCGCCCCACUUGUCCC
rnacentral:miRNA from 1 species